rnacentral:rRNA from 1 species
GACGUAGGGCGCGAGCGUUGUCCGGAUUUAUUGGGCGUAAAGCGCGUGUAGGCGGCCAGAUAGGUCUGCUGUGAAAACUCGAGGCUCAACCUCGAGCUGUCGGCGGAAACCAUCUGGCUAGAGUCCGGAAGAGGAGAGUGGAAUUCCUGGUGUAGCGGUGAAAUGCGCAGAUAUCAGGAAGAACACCUAUGGCGAAGGCAGCUCUCUGGGACGGUACUGACGCUGAGACGCGGAAGCGUGGGGAGCGAACAGG